rnacentral:lncRNA from 1 species
UGUAGGGCAGUGUCCAGUGAUCACAAAUUCACUCAAUUUAGAGGUUUGUUGUAUGUGGUGACCCUAGUAGGAAUAUGUGGUGACCACAUUAGACUUCCUGCACAAUCCCUUUGCAAACUUAUUCAGGAAAUGUGAAGUGCGUGUUGGUGUUGGUUUGGGUGGGCAUGAUGUCGACAGAAAAUGCGUUAGAUCAGAUUUUAGAGUCCAUGAGUGUAAGGCAGUGUCCAGUGAUCACAAAUUCACUCAACUUAGGGCAUUGUUGUAUGUGGUGACCUUAGUAGGAAUAUGUGGUGACCACAUUAUAGUUCCUGCACAGUCCCUGUGCAAACUUAUUAUGUAAAUGUGAAGAGCGUGUUAGUGUUGGUUGAGUUGGGCAUGAUGUGGGCAGAAAGUGUGUUAUAUCAGGUUUUGAGA